CCUACGGGUGGCUGCAGUCGAGAAUCUUCCGCAAUGGGGGAAACCCUGACGGAGCGACGCCGCGUGCGGGAUGAAGGCCUUCGGGUUGUAAACCGCUGUCGAGGGGAAUCAAAUUUUGAGUGAACCCUGGAGGAAGCACCGGCUAAACUCGUGCCAGCAGCCGCGGUAAUACGAGUGGUGCAAACGUUAUUCGGAAUCACUGGGCUUAAAGGGUGCGUAGGCGGCUGCACAAGUCAGGUGUGAAAUCCCUCGGCUCAACCGAGGAACUGCGCUUGAAACUGUGCGGCUUGAGGGAGACAGAGGUGAGCGGAACUGAUGGUGGAGCGGUGAAAUGCGUUGAUAUCAUCAGGAACACCGGUGGCGAAAGCGGCUCACUGGGUCUUUUCUGACGCUGAGGCACGAAAGCUAGGGGAGCAAACGGGAUUAGAUACCCCAGUAGUCC
rnacentral:rRNA from 1 species